UCUACGGGAGGCAGCAGUGGGAUAUGGACAAUGGGGGCAACCUGAUCCAGCCAUGCCGCGUGUGUGAAGAAGGCCCUCGGGUUGUAAAGCACUUUCAGCGAGGAAGAACGCCUAGUGGUUAAUACCCAUUAGGAAAGACAUCACUCGCAGAAGAAGCACCGGCUAACUCCGUGCCAGCAGCCGCGGUAAUACGGAGGGUGCAAGCGUUAAUCGGAAUUACUGGGCGUAAAGCGCGCGUAGGUGGCUUGAUAAGCCGGUUGUGAAAGCCCCGGGCUCAACCUGGGAACGGCAUCCGGAACUGUCAGGCUAGAGUGCAGGAGAGGAAGGUAGAAUUCCCGGUGUAGCGGUGAAAUGCGUAGAGAUCGGGAGGAAUACCAGUGGCGAAGGCGGCCUUCUGGACUGACACUGACACUGAGGUGCGAAAGCGUGGGUAGCAAACAGGAUUAGAUACCCUGGUAGUCCACGCCGUAAACGAUGUCGACCAGCCGUUGGGUGCCUAGCGCACUUUGUGGCGAAGUUAACGCGAUAAGUCGACCGCCUGGGGAGUACGGCCGCAAGGUUAAAACUCAAAUGAAUUGACGGGGGCCCGCACAAGCGGUGGAGCAUGUGGUUUAAUUCGGUGCAACGCGAAGAACCUUACCUACCCUUGACAUCGACAGAAGCCGAGAGAGAUCUUGGUGUGCCUUCGGGAACUGUCAGACAGGUGCUGCAUGGCUGUCGUCAGCUCGUGUUGUGAAAUGUUGGGUUAAGUCCCGUAACGAGCGCAACCCUUGUCCUUAUUUGCCAGCGCGUAAUGGCGGGAACUCUAAGGAGACUGCCGGUGACAAACCGGAGGAAGGUGGGGACGACGUCAAGUCAUCAUGGCCCUUACGGGUAGGGCUACACACGUGCUACAAUGGCCGGUACAAAGGGCAGCGAGCUCGCGAGAGUCAGCGAAUCCCUUAAAGCCGGUCUCAGUCCGGAUCGGAGUCUGCAACUCGACUCCGUGAAGUCGGAAUCGCUAGUAAUCGGAAUCAGAA
rnacentral:rRNA from 1 species